CGGCUAUAAAGUUGGAUUUUUUGCUCAGGACGAACGCUGGCGGCGUGCCUAAUACAUGCAAGUCGAACGCACUCUCGUUUAGAUUGAAGGAGCUUGCUCCUGAUUGAUAAACAUUUGAGUGAGUGGCGGACGGGUGAGUAACACGUGGGUAACCUGCCCUAAAGUGGGGGAUAACAUUUGGAAACAGAUGCUAAUACCGCAUAAAACCUAACACCGCAUGGUGUAGGGUUGAAAGAUGGUUUCGGCUAUCACUUUAGGAUGGACCCGCGGUGCAUUAGUUAGUUGGUGAGGUAAAGGCUCACCAAGACCGUGAUGCAUAGCCGACCUGAGAGGGUAAUCGGCCACACUGGGACUGAGACACGGCCCAGACUCCUACGGGAGGCAGCAGUAGGGAAUCUUCCACAAUGGACGAAAGUCUGAUGGAGCAACGCCGCGUGAGUGAAGAAGGUUUUCGGAUCGUAAAACUCUGUUGUUGGAGAAGAAUGUAUCUGAUAGUAACUGAUCAGGUAGUGACGGUAUCCAACCAGAAAGCCACGGCUAACUACGUGCCAGCAGCCGCGGUAAUACGUAGGUGGCAAGCGUUGUCCGGAUUUAUUGGGCGUAAAGCGAGCGCAGGCGGUUUCUUAAGUCUGAUGUGAAAGCCUUCGGCUCAACCGAAGAAGUGCAUCGGAAACUGGGAAACUUGAGUGCAGAAGAGGACAGUGGAACUCCAUGUGUAGCGGUGAAAUGCGUAGAUAUAUGGAAGAACACCAGUGGCGAAGGCGGCUGUCUGGUCUGUAACUGACGCUGAGGCUCGAAAGCAUGGGUAGCAAACAGGAUUAGAUACCCUGGUAGUCCAUGCCGUAAACGAUGAGUGCUAGGUGUUGGAGGGUUUCCGCCCUUCAGUGCCGCAGCUAACGCAUUAAGCACUCCGCC
rnacentral:rRNA from 2 species